rnacentral:rRNA from 1 species
UUGGACAAUGGGCGAAAGCCUGAUCCAGCAAUGCCGCGUGUGGGAAGAAGGCCUUCGGGUUGUAAACCACUUUUGGCGGGAAAGAAAUGGUCUGUGCUAAUACCACNGAUUGAUGACGGUACCCGAAGAAUAAGCACCGGCUAACUACGUGCCAGCAGCCGCGGUAAUACGUAGGGUGCGAGCGUUAAUCGGAAUUACUGGGCGUAAAGCGUGCGCAGGCGGUUGGGAAAGAUAGAUGUGAAAGCCCUGGGCUCAACCUAGGAAUUGCAUUUAUGACUGCCCGACUGGAGUACGGUAGAGGGGAGUGGAAUUCCGCGUGUAGCAGUGAAAUGCGUAGAUAUGCGGAGGAACACCGAUGGCGAAGGCAGCUCCCUGGACCUGUACUGACGCUCAUGCACGAAAGCGUGGGGAGCAAACAGGAUUAGAUACCCUGGU